rnacentral:rRNA from 1 species
AGAGUUUGAUCAUGGCUCAGAUUGAGCGCUGGCGGCAGGCCUAACACAUGCAAGUCGAACGGUAACAGGAAGCAGCUUGCUGCUUCGCUGACGAGUGGCGGACGGGUGAGUAAUGUCUGGGAAGCUGCCUGAUGGAGGGGGAUAACUACUGGAAACGGUAGCUAAUACCGCAUAAUGUCGCAAGACCAAAGAGGGGGACCUUCGGGCCUCUUGCCAUCGGAUGUGCCCAGAUGGGAUUAGCUUGUUGGUGGGGUAACGGCUCACCAAGGCGACGAUCCCUAGCUGGUCUGAGAGGAUGACCAGCCACACUAGAACUGAGACACGGUCCAGACUCCUACGGGAGGCAGCAGUGGGGAAUAUUGCACAAUGGGCGCAAGCCUGAUGCAGCCAUGCCGCGUGUAUGAAGAAGGCCUUCGGGUUGUAAAGUACUUUCAGCGGGGAGGAAGGGAGUAAAGUUAAUACCUUUGCUCAUUGACGUUACCCGCAGAAGAAGCACCGGCUAACUCCGUGCCAGCAGCCGCGGUAAUACGGAGGGUGCAAGCGUUAAUCGGAAUUACUGGGCGUAAAGCGCACGCAGGCGGUUUGUUAAGUCAGAUGUGAAAUCCCCGGGCUCAACCUGGGAACUGCAUCUGAUACUGGCAAGCUUGAGUCUCGUAGAGGGGGGUAGAAUUCCAGGUGUAGCGGUGAAAUGCGUAGAGAUCUGGAGGAAUACCGGUGGCGAAGGCGGCCCCCUGGACGAAGACUGACGCUCAGGUGCGAAAGCGUGGGGAGCAAACAGGAUUAGAUACCCUGGUAGUCCACGCCGUAAACGAUGUCGACUUGGAGGUUGUGCCCUUGAGGCGUGGCUUCCGGAGCUAACGCGUUAAGUCGACCGCCUGGGGAGUACGGCCGCAAGGUUAAACUCAAAUGAAUUGACGGGGGCCCGCACAAGCGGUGGAGCAUGUGGUUUAAUUCGAUGCAACGCGAAGAACCUUACCUGGUCUUGACAUCCACGGAAGUUUUCAGAGAUGAGAAUGUGCCUUCGGGAACCGUGAGACAGGUGCUGCAUGGCUGUCGUCGGCUCGUGUUGUGAAAUGUUGGGUUAAGUCCCGCAACGAGCGCAACCCUUAUCCUUUGUUGCCAGCGGUCCGGCCGGGAACUCAAAGGAGACUGCCAGUGAUAAACUGGAGGAAGGUGGGGAUGACGUCAAGUCAUCAUGGCCCUUACGACCAGGGCUACACACGUGCUACAAUGGCGCAUACAAAGAGAAGCGACCUCGCGAGAGCAAGCGGACCUCAUAAAGUGCGUCGUAGUCCGGAUUGGAGUCUGCAACUCGACUCCAUGAAGUCGGAAUCGCUAGUAAUCGUGGAUCAGAAUGCCACGGUGAAUACGUUCCCGGGCCUUGUACACACCGCCCGUCACACCAUGGGAGUGGGUUGCAAAAGAAGUAGGUAGCUUAACCUUCGGGAGGGCGCUUACCACUUUGUGAUUCAUGACUGGGGUGAAGUCGGAACAAGGUA